UUUGAUGUGAGUGAUUCUUGGGUAGGUACUUGCCAACAACAAGACACACCCAUCUGUCAGAACCUUGCCCGCAGCUGUUUCCCUCCACUCAAUUACAAGGAACAAACCUCCUGCAACUACAGACAGAUGUAUGGUGAGAUGCUGGAGGGAGCUUUGAAUAGGACAAUGACCCAACACACCUCUAGGCUGUGUAAGGACUAUUUGACCAAGAAGGAGAGUGAUGGUGCUGCAUCAGAUGACCUGGCCUCCACAAUCACCCGACCUCAACCCAGUUGAGAUGGUUUGGAAUGACUUGGACCACAGAGUGAAGGAAAAGCAGCCAACAAGUGCUCAGCAUAUGUGGGAACUCCUUCAAGACUGUUCCAUUUGAAGUUGGUUGAGAGAAUGCCAAGAGUGUGCAAAGUUGUCAUCAAGGCAAAGGGUGGCUACUUUGAAGAAAAUAAAAUACAAAAUAUAUUUAGAUUUGUUUAACACUUUUUUUUUACUACACGAUUCCAUAUGUGUUAUUUCAUAGUUUUGAUGUCUUCACUAUUACUCUACUAAUAGGUGUGUCCAAACUUUUGACUGGUACUGUAUAUAAUUGUAUUAUUUUCCCUUAACCCUACUACCACCCCUCCCCUAAUUGGAGUAAACUAAUGGACAACAAUACUUAGGUUUCUACUUCCAGCUUAUACAUACGAUAUACAGACACAGUAUAUUUUACAUUAGUUAUCUUGUUAUUUUUUUGUCCCACCCUUCAGCUCCACCCAACUCCUCCCAUCUACCUCUGAACACCAUUCAGUUUGGAUUUCUAUUUACCAUAUAUUUUCAACUGUGAUGUUUCACAAAAGUUCUGAACCUUUCUGUUCUCAUAGUUUCUACAGAUUGUAAAUUAAAUAAACAUUUUUGCUAAGA